GACGAACGCUGGCGGCGUGCUUAACACAUGCAAGUCGAACGGAAAGACCCUGCUUUUGUGGCGUGCUCGAGUGGCGAACGGGUGAGUAACACAUGAGUAACCUCCCCUUGACUUUGGGAUAACUUCAGGGAACUGGGGCUCAUACAGGGUAGGAGCUCUUGCAGCAUGGGGGGGGUUGGAAAGAUUCGGCGUUUGGGGACGGAAUCGCGGGUUCUCAGCUUGUUGGUGGGGUAGUGGCUUACCAAGGCUUUGACGGGUAGCGGGCCUGAGAGGGUGACCCGCCACACUGGGUCUUACGUGCGGCCGCGUCUCCUACGGUAGGCAGCGGUGGGAAACAUUGCAGAACGGGCGCAAGUCAGAGGCGACAACCCCGCGUUCGUGAAGCUGGCCUACUGGUUGUGAACCGCUUUGUCCGUUGAUGAGGAGUGAGUGACGGUAACGGGUAAGGAAGCACCGGCUAACUACGUG
rnacentral:rRNA from 1 species